CUGAUGCAGCCAUGCCGCGUGUGUGAAGAAGGCCUUAGGGUUGUAAAGCACUUUCAGUAAGGAGGAAAGGUUAGUAGUUAAUACCUGCUAGCUGUGACGUUACUUACAGAAGAAGCACCGGCUAACUCCGUGCCAGCAGCCGCGGUAAUACGGAGGGUGCGAGCGUUAAUCGGAAUUACUGGGCGUAAAGCGUACGCAGGCGGUUUGUUAAGCGAGAUGUGAAAGCCCCGGGCUCAACCUGGGAACUGCAUUUCGAACUGGCAAACUAGAGUGUGAUAGAGGGUGGUAGAAUUUCAGGUGUAGCGGUGAAAUGCGUAGAGAUCUGAAGGAAUACCGAUGGCGAAGGCAGCCACCUGGGUCAACACUGACGCUCAUGUACGAAAGCGUGGGGAGCAAACAGGAUUAGAUACCCUGGUAGUCCACGCCGGAGACGAUGUCUACUAGGAGCUGGGGUCUUCGGACAACUUUUCCAAAGCUAACGCAUUAAGUAGACCGCCUGG
rnacentral:rRNA from 1 species